rnacentral:lncRNA from 1 species
CCUACCCCUGACCCCAGGGCAGCCCUUGCUCCCUCCUGGCUCCCAGGGCCAUGAACAAUCCCAGCCCCUGCUGAGCCUCUCUCGCCGCUCCAUGCCUGGAGUCUUGAGGCAGUGGACAGGUAACUGGUGGGAAGAUGUCUUGGCCAGGCUGUUUCCUUCUUAAUCUCAGUGUCUUUAGGUACAGAGGUGGCAGCUUUAGAUUCUGUGCUUCUAAGGAAGGGAACAAGGGGAGGGUGUGGAUAGUGAGGACCAAGAAGUUCCUAGAGGCAGCUCAGCAGGUGCCCCUCAUCCCUCAGAUGAGGCAGGUGAAGAUGGAGUGGAGAGAUUUGGGAACAGGAGGGGGUCCUCGUCCAAAUGGUGAUGUCCUCUGUGCAUCGUCCUGAAUCCGGGCUUCAUCGGCAGAGACCGGCAAGUGGAUGACCUGGCUUGUUAGGGAUGCCACAGCUGAUGCCCCAGCUCAGGAUGUCCACCCGGGUUCAAACCUCAGCUCAAAUCUUAGGCAAGGCACAGAGCCUCCAUUUCAGUGUUCCCAUCCAUGAACAGGGUCAGACAGCAUGGAACCCAUGGGACAUUAGGGAGCAUUAAUGAGCUGAUGCGUGAAGACUGCUCACACACUGCCUUGGCUCAGCAAUGGAUGGUGUCUCUCUCUGCUGUCGGAGAUCACCUGAACCCAGUGUAAGUCCUUCCCCCCAGAGGGGGUCUCUGCACACCCUACAGUGCUAUCCUCUUGAUCGGUUGUCUGCAGGAGGUGACAGCAGGGCAUGGUGUUAUUUAGUGCAAUGAUACCUCCUGCAGUGGGAACAGGGUCAGGAGGGAUUUUUGGGGAGCAGGGCCACUCACUGGCCUAGCCCGAGGUACCCACCUGCCCUGGAACUGUGGUCUCGUGGGGUCCAGGUGCUCCCCCUCUUAAGGGCCAUGACAAGAAAUGGGAAUGUCAAGUGGUGGGGGAGUGAACUGGCCAGCUGCCCCUGCUUCUCUGCCCCAGACAGACCUCUUCCUAUGUCCUUUCCACC